rnacentral:rRNA from 1 species
UGGAUCCAGACUUUGAUCCUGGCUCAGGACGAACGCUGGCGGCGCGCCUAACACAUGCAAGUCGAACGAGCGAGAGAGAGCUUGCUUUCUCGAGCGAGUGGCGAACGGGUGAGUAACGCGUGAGGAACCUGCCUCAAAGAGGGGGACAACAGUUGGAAACGACUGCUAAUGCCGCAUAAGCCCACGACCCGGCAUCGGGUUGAGGGAAAAGGAGCAAUCCGCUUUGAGAUGGCCUCGCGUCCGAUUAGCUAGUUGGUGAGGUAACGGCCCACCAAGGCGACGAUCGGUAGCCGGACUGAGAGGUUGAACGGCCACAUUGGGACUGAGACACGGCCCAGACUCCUACGGGAGGCAGCAGUGGGGAAUAUUGCACAAUGGGGGAAACCCUGAUGCAGCGACGCCGCGUGGAGGAAGAAGGUCUUCGGAUUGUAAACUCCUGUUGUUGAGGAAGAUAAUGACGGUACUCAACAAGGAAGUGACGGCUAACUACGUGCCAGCAGCCGCGGUAAAACGUAGGUCACAAGCGUUGUCCGGAAUUACUGGGUGUAAAGGGAGCGCAGGCGGGAAGACAAGUUGGAAGUGAAAUCUAUGGGCUCAACCCAUAAACUGCUUUCAAGACUGUUUUUCUUGAGUAGUGCAGAGGUAGGCGGAAUUCCCGGUGUAGCGGUGGAAUGCGUAGAUAUCGGGAGGAACACCAGUGGCGAAGGCGGCCUACUGGGCACCAACUGACGCUGAGGCUCGAAAGUGUGGGUAGCAAACAGGAUUAGAUACCCUGGUAGUCCACACCGUAAACGAUGAUUACUAGGUGUUGGAGGAUUGACCCCUUCAGUGCCGCAGUUAACACAAUAAGUAAUCCACCUGGGGAGUACGACCGCAAGGUUGCAACUCAAAUGAAUUGACGGA